AAAUCAUGGUGUGGGCAUCUUCUUAACAAUUCUCUGAAUCGCUCCCACGCCUCGAAUAGUGAUUUUAUCUCAUACUAUUGGAAACAACAUAUUUCUGUCAUCAGCUU